rnacentral:pre_miRNA from 14 species
CACUAACAUAAAAUAAAACUGAAAGACCCCCGGAGCGGGGAGACCCUCACUCAAGUCUCGGGAUGAUGCGACCCCCCAGGAACUCACGUGAGACC